rnacentral:rRNA from 1 species
CCUACGGGUGGCUGCAGUGAGGAAUAUUGGUCAAUGGGCGCAAGCCUGAACCAGCCAAGUCGCGUGAGGGAUGACGGUCCUAUGGAUUGUAAACCUCUUUUGUCGGGGAGCAAGGCCCGCCACGUGUGGCGGGAAGGAGAGUACCCGAAGAAAAAGCAUCGGCUAACUCCGUGCCAGCAGCCGCGGUAAUACGGAGGAUGCGAGCGUUAUCCGGAUUUAUUGGGUUUAAAGGGUGCGUAGGCGGAAGGUUAAGUCAGCGGUGAAAUGCCCCCGCUCAACGGGGUGAAGUGCCAUUGAUACUGCCUUGCUGGAAUGCGGAUGCCGUGGGAGGAAUGUGUGGUGUAGCGGUGAAAUGCAGAGAUAUCACACAGAACACCGAUUGCGAAGGCAUCUCACGAAUCCGCGAUUGACGCUGAUGCACGAAAGCGUGGGUAUCAAACAGGAUUAGAUACCCGUGUAGUC